AUGGCUCUGGUGAUGAUUUGGGUUUUCCUUGUUGCUUUUUUAAAAGGUGUCCAGUCUGAGGUGAAACUUGUGGAGUCUGGAGGAGGCUUGGUGAAGCCUGGAGGAUCCCUGAGACUAUCCUGUGUAGCCACUUUCAGGGACUACUGGAUACAUUGGGUUCGCCAAGCUCCAGGGAAGGGGCUGGAGGGGGUUGGAGGUAUUAAUACAGACAGCAGUACUAUAAGAAAAGCACCAUCUGUGAAGGAUCGAUACACCAUCUCCACAGACAAUGCCAAGAUCACUCUGUACCUGCAAAUGAACAGUCUGAGAUCUGAGGACACAGCCAUUUAUUACUGUGCUAAUGACACAGUGAUGGAAAUUCGGUGUUUAUUCAGACAUAAACCUCACUGUUAG